rnacentral:sRNA from 12 species
CUUGUGGACUGUUACAUCAACUGUAGUAGCGAGCUUUUGGCGAGGCAGGACAGGAUAAAGCAAGAA